CCUACGGGUGGCAGCAGUGAGGAAUUUUGCUCAAUGCGCGUAAGCCUGAACCAGCCAAGUCGCGUGAGGGAUGAAGGUUCUAUGGAUCGUAAACCUCUUUUAUAAGGGAAUAAAGUGUGGGACGUGUCCUAUUUUGUAUGUACCUUAUGAAUAAGGAUAGGCUAACUCCGUGCCAGCAGCCGCGGUACUACGGAGGAUCCGAGCGUUAUCCGGAUUUAUUGGGUGUAAAGGGUGCGUAGGCGGCCUUUUAAGUCAGCGGGGAAAGUCUGUGGCUCAACCAUAGAAUUGCCGUUGAAACUGGGGGGCGUGAGUAUGUUUGAGGCAGGCAGAAUGCGUGGUGUAGCGGUGAAAUGCUUAGAUAUCACGCAGAAUCCCGAUUGCGAAGGCAGCCUGCCAAGUCAUGACUGACGCUGAUGUACGAAAGCGUGGGGAGCAAACAGGAUUAGAUACCCCUGUAGUC
rnacentral:rRNA from 1 species